UCACUAUAACACUCCCCUACAGACCACACGUCACUAUAACACUCCCUUACUGCCCACACAUCACUAACACUCCCCUACUGACCACACGUCACUAUAACACUCCCUUACUGACCACGCAUCACUAUAACACUCCCUUAAUGACCACGCAUCACUAAAACACUCCCCUACUGACCACACGUCACUAACACUCCCCUACUGACCACACAUCACUUAAACAAGUGCCACUGAUGUACACAGACACAAAAUGGCUGCCCCUAGCUAGAGCCCGAAUGGAGGUUCUUUCCUGGAGCCAAACCAACCUGGCUACACCCACCAUGACCUCCAGGCUUGGGUCAAUAGGUCAACAUAUCAUCAUGACAUAAUCCAAUUGGACAAUGAACAGGAAGUGAGUUAGGUCGGGACAACCAAUUGGAAAUACAGACUUUUAGAGCAGAAUUUGCAUAUUAGCAGCAACUUAUAAAAAGUCAGAGUCAGACAGGCUACUUAAUCAAGGCUACUUUAUCUCUUUAAUUGAAAACUAUCACUCGAUCAUCAUGAAAUAUGUCCGAUAUCUCUUUAAUUGAAAACUAUCACUCGAUCAUCAUGAAAUGUGUCAGAUAUCUCUUUAAUUUAAAACUAUCACUCGAUCAUCAUGAAAUAUGUCAGAUAUCUCUUUAAUUGAAAACUAUCACUCGAUCAUCAUGAAAUAUGUCCGAUAUCUCUUUAAUUGAAAACUAUCACUCGAUCAUCAUGAAAUAUGUCCGAUAUCUCUUUAAUUGAAAACUAUCACUCGAUCAUCAUGAAAUAUGUCCAAUAUCUCUUUAAUUGAAAACUAUCACUCGAUCAUCAUGAAAUAUGUCCGAUAUCUCUUUAAUUCCAAACUAUCACUCGAUCAUCAUGAAAUAUGUCCGAUAUCUCUUUAAUUGAAAACUAUCACUCGAUCAUCAUGAAAUAUGUCCGAUAUCUCUUUAAUUCCAAACUAUCACUCGAUCAUCAUGAAAUAUGUCCGAUAUCUCUUUAAUUCCAAACUAUCACUCGAUCAUCAUGAAAUGUGUCAAAUAUCUAUUUAAUUUAAAUUAAGA
ensembl:lncRNA